rnacentral:rRNA from 1 species
UACGAGAGGCCCAAACGUUAUUCGGAUUUACUGGGCUUAAAGAGUUCGUAGGCGGCUUGGAAAGUGGGGUGUGAAAGCCCUCGGCUCAACCGAGGAAUUGCGCUCCAAACUACCGAGCUUGAGUAGGCUAGAGGUGAGCAGAACUGAUGGUGGAGCGGUGAAAUGCGUUGAUAUCAGGAGGAACACCAAUAGCGAAGGCAGCUCGCUGGGACGGUAUUGACGCUAAGGCGCGAAAGCGUGGGGAGCAAACAGG